GCGAAAGUGAAAGAGCAGAGGCUUUAAACGUUUCAGUGUAUUUGUGCUCAGAUACCUUUGCGUCCAUCACGAGUUCGGAUUAAACGCAUUUAUUCUGUUUAUUAGACGCCAGGAUCGACUCUCGAGAGCAAGAUUUAAUGCCGGGAGCCUGUGCUGUGUGAAACCUGCAAACCUGCGAAGACCAGACUCUCAAGUCACCACAUGCUUCAACAAACUCCAUCUGAAUACUGGGACUCGUACAAGCACUACAUUACAGGAGCGCAUCGCUGUUUUAAUAGCUGAAUAUCUGUUUACUCGGCUCGAGCCGUUUUGCUUUUCCUCACUCGUCACUUUUUAAUGUGUUUCUUGAUUGCAUUUAAUGCCCUUGAUGCUUUUCUCCAAACUGACUUAUUUAUCUGUGUGAAGGGUUUCAGCUCUAAUGUUCACUCUCGCCUGAACAAAGAAAAAUAAACUGCUUUCCUCACUCAAUAAUGCCUGGAAUUCUCUGAAUUUCACCAUAACAGAAACACAGCGAUUAACUUUCUAAGUCAGAGCAAGAGCAAUGAAUGUUUUUUUGUUUAUUUAUUUUUUCUCCACAUCAAGUUGAAAUGAAUUAAGCAGACUCUCGGUAUCAGUUCCAAACUCACACGAUUGUCUUUCUUCUGAGGAACAAGGAAGAUUUGUUGAAGAAUCAACACCAUAAUAGUCAGUGGGGUCUAAACUUUUAAGCGCCAAAAAGAACAUAAAUGUGGUGAAAAAUGAUAUUAUAUGACAAACAGAGGGAAAUUUAAGCACUUAAUCACUCUCACAUCAGCUCAUGUUUACAGACCCUUCUGAAAAUGAAGAAUGCUUUAAAAAGUCUGCUUAUUACAGAAAUAAUAUACUUCAUAGGGACCAAUUCUCACUAUUAACUGACUAUAAACUAUGAAUUUUGCCUCAAUAAACUCUUAAUUUGCUGCAUAUUAAUGGUUAGUAAGGUAAUUGCUAAGUUUAGAUAUGGGGUGAAUUAAGGCAUCUAAAAUAUGCUCAUGCAUUAAUAUCUGCUUUAUCAGUGUUAAUAAACAGGCAAUAUGCCAGUAAUAUGCAUGCUAAUAAACAACUAGGUAACAGUGGGAACCGGUCCCUAAACUAAAGUGUUACUGAGUAUACUUAAGUGUGAACUGAAUAUAACCUUAACUGUGUUAUUUACAAUUGAAUGAAAAUGUAUUAUAGAUUACAUUUGUAUUAAAUGCAAUUAGUUGUUUUUGACCCACUUAAGCAUUAAGUAAUUCAAAAUGACUUCUAUUGUCUUUGAAAUAUGGUUCUGCUGAAUGUACUGACGAGUGUUUAUGGUAAACUGUAAUAUACUCCUAGAUGACUUGUUUAUCAGUGGCAUUAGGGACGUUCAUUGAUAAGUCAUUUACUGCCUGAUCUGCCUUCAUGUUUCAUCCUGAUGAACAGACCGCAGCUCUAUCCUUCCACUUUAUGCCAGUUUAACGAACCGCGAUCAAUAUCACUCAGACCAGAGGAGAAGCCGAAGGGUUUUCCCCAUUUCUGUCACCUGAUGGAGUUUCAUCAGCACCGCCUCGUUUGGCUCGAUUAGUUCAGAAAUCACAUAAGUGUAGUGCACUCUGUGGAUAUGAUCAGACUGACACCAUCAGAUGAGAUCAAACUCUUGGACUGGAUCCACCUGGACUCUGUCACCCUCCUGAAGUGGAUACAGCACAAUCUGAACUGAUCCAUAAGUGAUCCUGUGAUUGUCCUGUUCAUCGCUGUGGAGCUGCUUCCACUCAGUCUCUACUGUAUAAAGCGCUGUAGAAAUAAAGCUGACUUGACUGCAA